AGUUCAAUGCGAGCUGAGCAGACAGGGCUGCAAGGAAAUCUGGCGCGGUUCAAUACCUCGUCUAGCCUGGGUUCCAGUAUCUAAUUUUUUUUUUGUUUUAACUGACAAACUCAUUUCUCUACUGGGACAGGAUGCUGUGCUGGCUGGAAGUUCCAUUUCUACAGCAAGAAUCCUAUCUGGAAACACAGAAGUUGUCCUCUAGCCACAGCAGCUCGAACUUUUUUGAUUGUCGUUGCUGCUUUCUCCCAUCACCCCCAUCCCCUUUUGACAAAGAUCCAACUGUAAAAAGUCUUACGUAACAGUUCAGGACUACUUCGGUUCUUUUACUGGGUAAGCACUUUCAAUUUUUUUUUUUUAACUAAAAGCCAUUUUAAAAUUGAAUCUGUUGAGGGGCUUGACUAAAAUCUUUUAAGUAAUUUGUGUAAUGGAAUACUGUCAGUGGAUUUUUUCGUCUCAUUUCUGCACGUGCUCCUUUGUUCUCAGAACAGAAGCUUUUUAUACACAUCCCAUAACGCAGCUGGAGAGAGUUAUGAAGUCAGUUAUUAUAAGGAACACAAAGGUUGCUUUCCAUUCUUUGCCUUUAGAUAAUUAAUUUUUUUGUUUUCUUAAAAUGGAGUAUUUAAAGAAGGAAGAAAUUCACAAGAAAUAAACUGUUGGAGAAUU
rnacentral:lncRNA from 1 species